GUACUACUCUCAGAGUUUGAUCCUGGCUCAGGAUGAACGCUGGCGGCGUGCUUAACACAUGCAAGUCGAACGGACUUAACUUGAAGCCUAGCGAUAGUUAAGUUAGUGGCGGACGGGUGAGUAACGCGUGGGUAACCUGCCUUAUACAGGGGGAUAACACUUAGAAAUAGGUGCUAAUACCGCAUAAGCGCACAGUUUCGCAUGAAACAGUGUGAAAAACUCCGGUGGUAUAAGAUGGACCCGCGUCUGAUUAGCUAGUUGGUGAGGUAACGGCUCACCAAGGCGACGAUCAGUAGCCGGCCUGAGAGGGUGAACGGCCACAUUGGGACUGAGACACGGCCCAA
rnacentral:rRNA from 1 species